AACAAGGUUUCCGUAGGUGAACCUGCGGAAGGAUCAUUAUAGAGAACGUGCCCGUUGGGUACAUCUCCCACCCUCUGUUUACAAUACCUUUGUUGCUUUGGCGGGCUACCCUGCACAGCAGUUCUACGCCCGCCAAAGGACCCAAAACUCUUUGUUUUAUGCCGUCUGAAUACUAUACAAUAGUUAAAACUUUCAACAACGGAUCUCUUGGUUCUGGCAUCGAUGAAGAACGCAGCGAAAUGCGAUAAGUAAUGUGAAUUGCAGAAUUCAGUGAAUCAUCGAAUCUUUGAACGCACAUUGCACCUCUUGGUAUUCCAGGAGGUAUGCCUGUUCGAGCGUCAUUGCAACCCUCAAGCCUGGCUUGGUAUUGGGUGCCACUCUAGGUGCGCCCCAAAAUUAUCAGCAGCGGCAUCUGGCCUCCAGCGUAGUAAAUUUCUCGCUCUGGGGCUUGGUGACUGGCGGCUCAGAACCCAAAUUAUCAAAGGUUGACCUCGGAUCAGGUAGGGAUACCCGCUGAACUUAAGCAUAUCAAUAAGCGGAGGAAAAGAAACCAACAGGGAUUGCCUCAGUAACGGCGAGUGAAGCGGCAACAGCUCAAAUUUGAAAUCUGACUUCGGUCCGAGUUGUAAUUUGUAGAAGAUGCUUCGGGCGUGGUCCAGUCUAAGUUCCUUGGAACAGGACGUCAUAGAGGGUGAGAAUCCCGUAUGUGACUGGGUACCUAAGCUCAUGUGAAGCUCUUUCGACGAGUCGAGUUGUUUGGGAAUGCAGCUCAAAAUUGGUGGUAAAUUUCAUCUAAAGCUAAAUACCGGCCAGAGACCGAUAGCGCACAAGUAGAGUGAUCGAAAGAUGAAAAGCACUUUGGAAAGAGAGUUAAACAGUACGUGAAAUUGUUGAAAGGGAAGCGCUUGCAACUAGACUUGCAUGCAGUUGAUCAUCCGGUGUUCUCACUGGUGCACUCGACUGCAUUCAGGCCAGCAUUGGUUUCAGUGGCUGGAUAAAGGCCUUGGGAAUGUAGCUUCACUCGGGGAGUGUUAUAGCCCUUGGUGCAAUGCAGCCUACUGGGACCGAGGACCGCGCUUCGGCUAGGAUGCUGGCGUAAUAGUUGUAAGCGACC
rnacentral:rRNA from 1 species